AAGCUAGAGACGAUUACUUCGGUUUGAAUCUUUAGUGGAAAGUGGCGAACGGGUGAGUAACACGUGGAUGACCUGCCCCGGAGUGGGGGAUAACCAUUAGAAAUGAUGGCUAAUACCGCAUGGUCCUGUAAGUAUGGGAAUACUAACAGGUAAAACUCAGGUGCUCUGGGAGGGGUCUGCGGUCGAUUAGUUAGUUGGUGGGGUAAAGGCCUACCAAGGCAAUGAUCGAUAGCUGGUCUGAGAGGACGAUCAGCCACAUGGGAACUGAGACACGGUCCCAACUCCUACGGGGGGCAGCAGUGAGGAAUAUUGCACAAUGGGGGAAACCCUGAUGCAGCAACGCCGCGUGGAGGAUGAAGGCUCUUGGGUUGUAAACUCCUUUUCUGAGGGAAGAGCAAGGACGGUACCUCAGGAAUAAGGCCCGGCUAACUACGUGCCAGCAGCCGCGGUAAUACGUAGGGGCCAAGCGUUAUCCGGAUUUACUGGGCGUAAAGGGCACGCAGGCGGCCAUUUAAGUCUGGCGUGAAAUCUCUCGGCUUAACCGGGAGAGGUCGUUGGAAACUGAAUGGCUUGAGGCAGUGAGAGGGGUGUAGAAUUCCUGGUGUAGUGGUGGAAUGCGUAGAUAUCAGGAGGAAUACCAGUGGCGAAAGCGGCACCCUGGCACUGAACUGACGCUCAUGUGCGAAAGCGUGGGGAGCGAACGGGAUUAGAUACCCCGGUAGUCCACGCUGUAAACGAUGAACACUAGGUGUGGGUGGAUUCAAUCUUUCCGUACCGAAACAAACGCGAUAAGUGUUCCGCCUGGGAGUACGGCCGCAGGCUUAUACUCCAAGGAAUUGACGGGGACCCGGCACAAGCAGCGGAGCG
rnacentral:rRNA from 1 species